rnacentral:misc_RNA from 1 species
AAAGUCGUAACAAGGUUUCCGUAGGUGAACCUGCGGAAGGAUCAUCACUGAUUCUCAGGGGAUGGUGAUGUGUGGGUGGUGGUGGUGCUUUUUGCGCUCCGCCGCCCACACCCCGCCCCAACCAAUCUUGUGUGCACCGUUUCUCACCGAUCAAGGAGAACAAUGCGCGUGUGACAUUUGUGUGUUGGCGAGGAGGAGGCGCCAGGCCCUACCUACACCUCUCUACUCUCUUGCCAACCACAUGCACCCUGUCGCGCGUGUUUUCUCUCUGUCUACACCACAAUCUCUUGAUGUGAAAUCUUGUGUCUAACACGUUACCUAAAUUUUAACACAUACAACUUUUAACAAUGGAUCUCUUGGCUCUC